rnacentral:rRNA from 1 species
AAUAGAUACCCGGGUAGUCCACGCCGUAAACGAUGAGUGCUAAGUGUUAGAGGGUUUCCGCCCUUUAGUGCUGCAGCUAACGCAUUAAGCACUCCGCCUGGGGAGUACGGCCGCAAGGCUGAAACUCAAAGGAAUUGACGGGGGCCCGCACAAGCGGUGGAGCAUGUGGUUUAAUUCGAAGCAACGCGAAGAACCUUACCAGGUCUUGACAUCCUCUGCCAACCCUAGAGAUAGGGCGUUCCCCUUCGGGGGACAGAGUGACAGGUGGUGCAUGGUUGUCGUCAGCUCGUGUCGUGAGAUGUUGGGUUAAGUCCCGCAACGAGCGCAACCCUUGAUCUUAGUUGCCAGCAUUCAGUUGGGCACUCUAAGGUGACUGCCGGUGACAAACCGGAGGAAGGUGGGGAUGACGUCAAAUCAUCAUGCCCCUUAUGACCUGGGCUACACACGUGCUACAAUGGAUGGUACAAAGAGCUGCGAACCCGCGAGGGUAAGCCAAUCUCAUAAAGCCAUUCUCAGUUCGGAUUGU